GAUGAACGCUGGCGGCGUGCCUAAUACAUGCAAGUCGAGCGAACGGACGAGAAGCUUGCUUCUCUGAUGUUAGCGGCGGACGGGUGAGUAACACGUGGAUAACCUACCUAUAAGACUGGGAUAACUUCGGGAAACCGGAGCUAAUACCGGAUAAUAUUUUGAACCGCAUGGUUCAAAAGUGAAAGACGGUCUUGCUGUCACUUAUAGAUGGAUCCGCGCUGCAUUAGCUAGUUGGUAAGGUAACGGCUUACCAAGGCAACGAUGCAUAGCCGACCUGAGAGGGUGAUCGGCCACACUGGAACUGAGACACGGUCCAGACUCCUACGGGAGGCAGCAGUAGGGAAUCUUCCGCAAUGGGCGAAAGCCUGACGGAGCAACGCCGCGUGAGUGAUGAAGGUCUUCGGAUCGUAAAACUCUGUUAUUAGGGAAGAACAUAUGUGUAAGUAACUGUGCACAUCUUGACGGUACCUAAUCAGAAAGCCACGGCUAACUACGUGCCAGCAGCCGCGGUAAUACGUAGGUGGCAAGCGUUAUCCGGAAUUAUUGNNGCGUAAGCGCGCGUAGCGGUUUUUUAAGUCUGAUGUGAAAGCCCGCGGCUCAACCGUGGAGGGUCAUUGGAAACUGGAAAACUUGAGUGCAGAAGAGGAAAGUGGAAUUCCAUGUGUAGCGGUGAAAUGCGCAGAGAUAUGGAGGAACACCAGUGGCGAAGGCGACUUUCUGGUCUGUAACUGACGCUGAUGUGCGAAAGCGUGGGGAUCAAACAGGAUUAGAUACCCUGGUAGUCCACGCCGUAAACGAUGAGUGCUAAGUGUUAGGGGGUUUCCGCCCCUUAGUGCUGCAGCUAACGCAUUAAGCACUCCGCCUGGGGAGUACGACCGCAAGGUUGAAACUCAAAGGAAUUGACGGGGACCCGCACAAGCGGUGGAGCAUGUGGUUUAAUUCGAAGCAACGCGAAGAACCUUACCAAAUCUUGACAUCCUUUGACAACUCUAGAGAUAGAGCUUUCCCCUUCGGGGGACAAAGUGACAGGUGGUGCAUGGUUGUCGUCAGCUCGUGUCGUGAGAUGUUGGGUUAAGUCCCGCAACGAGCGCAACCCUUAAGCUUAGUUGCCAUCAUUAAGUUGGGCACUCUAAGUUGACUGCCGGUGACAAACCGGAGGAAGGUGGGGAUGACGUCAAAUCAUCAUGCCCCUUAUGAUUUGGGCUACACACGUGCUACAAUGGACAAUACAAAGGGCAGCGAAACCGUGAGGUCAAGCAAAUCCCAUAAAGUUGUUCUCAGUUCGGAUUGUAGUCUGCAACUCGACUACAUGAAGCUGGAAUCGCUAGUAAUCGUAGAUCAGCAUGCUACGGUGAAUACGUUCCCGGGUCU
rnacentral:rRNA from 1 species